UUCUCAUGCUAUCGUUCAUUCCAAACAAAGCAUUGUCCAUGGGAUGGAGAAUUAUGAAUACUCCAUGAUACAAGGAAGUCCUCGUAAAAACUUUGAUCUCAUCGUUGCAGUUAGACGCAAGGAGGAGAACAACAGCCUUUUACCUCCAACCACAUUUUCGAGACAAACUUCUAGUUCUGAAUCUUCUGAUAGGGAUUCCAUCUCUACCGAACCAAAUAAAAAGGUAGGAAACAUCUCAUACUUUCGUUUUUCCAAAUACUGCGUAUUCUGAAAUACGCUAUAUAUAUGUUACAGGUUGCAACUAUAGCUCCUGCCCCUAUUGAGAGAGUCCCGUCGAAAACUAUAUAUCAAAGGUGUUGUCAAAUAUUGUACCUGGGGUGGAAGUGGUUUUCCGUUGAGAGGGUUCAUCUACCUAGCUACACCCUACAUCUGUGAGCUUCAUAGAGUUGUUUCUAACACUAUUUGAUGUUUUUUUUGUGCUUUUCUUGCAGAUAAGACUUAAUUAUCCAGAUGAGUUUCUAACUUCUCUGCAUGGAUACUAUGGUAGCUUGUACGAAAGGGAGGCAGUUUUUGUGCGAUCGCUUACAUUUGAAAGCAACAAAAGAACAUAUGGACCAUAUGGUGUCCAGCAAGGAACAUAUUUCACGUUGCCAAUUUCUAAGGGAAAAAUUGUUGGCUUCCAUGGAAAAUCUGGCUGGUAUCUUGCUGCUAUCGGAGUAUAUAUUGAGCCUAUUCAAAAAUCUUUACUGACUACUUCUCAUGCUAUCGUUCAUUCCAAACAAAGCAUUGUCCAUGGGAUGGAGAAUUAUGAAUACUCCAUGAUACAAGGAAGUCCUCGUAAAAACUUUGAUCUCAUCGUUGCAGUUAGACGCAAGGAGGAGAACAACAGCCUUUUACCUCCAACCACAUUUUCGAGACAAACUUCUAGUUCUGAAUCUUCUGAUAGGGAUUCCAUCUCUACCGAACCAAAUAAAAAG
rnacentral:lncRNA from 1 species